rnacentral:rRNA from 1 species
GGGUUGUGAGGUUAAGCGACUAAGCGUACACGGUGGAUGCCCUGGCAGUCAGAGGCGAUGAAGGACGUGCUAAUCUGCGAUAAGCGUCGGUAAGGUGAUAUGAACCGUUAUAACCGGCGAUUUCCGAAUGGGGAAACCCAGUGUGUUUCGACACACU